rnacentral:rRNA from 1 species
UACGGAGGAUGCAAGCGUUAUCCGGAAUCAUUGGGCGUAAAGCGUCCGUAGGUGGCAAUCCAAGUUUGCAUUUAAAGCGUGGGGCUCAACCCCAUAAAGGGUGUGAAAACUGGGUAGCUAGAGUGCGGUAGGGGUCAGGGGAAUUCCUAGUGUAGCGGUGAAAUGCGUAGAUAUUAGGAAGAACACCGGUGGCGAAAGCGCCUGACUGGACCUGCACUGACACUGAGGGACGAAAGCUAGGGGAGCGAAAGGG